AAUAAGAUGCAUGCAAGCAUCUAAAAAAUUACAUGACAUCGCAGAUCACAUCGCAGGUCAUUACAUUUGAUACCAAAAGGGUUUGAAUCCUAUGAUCAUCACCAUAUGCAACAAUUAUAAUUUUCAGAUCUGAAAACUAACUGAUUAUAUCAUGACAUAGGUUGCUGAUCAUGCUAAUCAUGAUUCUAAACUUUGUAAUUCAUUAACAAUGCA
rnacentral:lncRNA from 1 species